UUAGAACCUUCAAAGAUUCUAUCAAGAGAAGAAGUCUGAAGAAAAAGAAAAGAGAAGUCUGAUUGCAGUCUUCUGGACCCUGAGCAGGCUGCAGCAGAAAAAUGGUGGCUCUGGCUUUGGAAUGAAUUUCCCCUAAAUCAGUGUUUCUCAGACAUUCCCAUCAAAGGUGCCACCACCUUGGAUGAACCCAAUGGAGUUCGCCGCAAGCAUGAAAUUUCUAUUUUCAUGAUGUGUAGCCCACAUGCUGCAGGAAAAAGGACCUACGAGACUGUACCGUGUAGAAGGUCUGCACUGCUGAGAAGAAGGGGGAGUGUGCCCACUGGCAGCUCCCUCACACAUCAAAAGGUCAAGGCUUUCCUUUACACCUGAGUAAAACCUGACACCCUUCCAGGGUUUGGCCUGUAAUUCCUGGGGAAGAGGAGUCCAUGACCCUCAUCCAGAGAAGAUGGAGCUCGAGACCCAGAGGAGAAGGAAGGAGGACCUUGGGGUCAGGAGUCAAACUUCAUGCGGGACAUUUGGAAGGUUAACCAAUGACAUGCAUCUGUAAGAGGCCACCACAUUUAUCCCACAAAAUAUUCAGGAUCAUAGGAGGUCAUGAUAUUUAUACAGGGCAGUAAAACGAACAGUAUCUACCUAGGAGUCACAAUGUCUGUCCAAGGGAAUAGAAUAUAUAACAUUCAGAUUCUAUUUACUGGGUGAGAUACUUUUCACUUCUAGAAUAGGUGAUGUGAAGGAGGCUGGCACCCCAGCUUCACGUCUCCUCAUUUAGGAGGGACUGGGAGCCUGGAGCUGGACGUUCUGAAGUUACAGAGGAACUGAUUUCCUCGCCAAGAUGCUCCCCCACUGUAGGGGUGUCAAAGGUAACUUAAAAAGUGUGAUCUCAGGCAGCCUGGGUAGCUCAGUGGUUUAGCGCCACCUUUGGCCCAGGGCAUGAUCCUGGAGUCCUGGAAUCAAGUCCCACAUCGGGCUCCCUGCAUGGAGCCUGCUUCUCCCUCUGUCUGUGUCUCUGCCUCUCUCUCUCUCUCUCUCUCUCUCUCUCUCUGUCGCUCAUGAAUGAAUAAAUAAAAUCUUAAAAAAAAAGUGUGGUCUCUG
rnacentral:lncRNA from 12 species